AUUGAACGCUGGCGGCAUGCUUUACACAUGCAAGUCGAACGGUAACAGGCCGCAAGGUGCUGACGAGUGGCGAACGGGUGAGUAAUGCAUCGGAACGUGCCCAGUCGUGGGGGAUAACUACUCGAAAGAGUAGCUAAUACCGCAUCCGAUCUAUGGAUGAAAGCGGGGGACCGUAAGGCCUCGCGCGAUUGGAGCGGCCGGUGUCAGAUUAGGUAGUUGGUGGGGUAAAGGCUCACCAAGCCAACGAUCUGUAGCUGGUCUGAGAGGACGACCAGCCACACUGGGACUGAGACACGGCCCAGACUCCUACGGGAGGCAGCAGUGGGGAAUUUUGGACAAUGGGCGCAAGCCUGAUCCAGCAAUGCCGCGUGCAGGAAGAAGGCCUUCGGGUUGUAAACUGCUUUUGUACGGAACGAAACGGCUCUGGUUAAUACCCGGGGCUAAUGACGGUACCGUAAGAAUAAGCACCGGCUAACUACGUG
rnacentral:rRNA from 1 species